rfam:Kutzneria albida DSM 43870, complete genome.
GGCUUUCUUCGCGGCGGAGCUAGACCGCCCCUCCCGCUGAUCGUCGACUACAUCGACACCCACAAGCACCAGUUCGGAGUCGAGCCGAUCUGCACCGUGCUCACCCAGGCCGGCAUGAAGAUCGCUCCG